CAGCAGCAGCAGCAGCAGCCGCUACAAUAAUUAUUAUUAUGGCGGAAGAUUCGCAGGCUUGGUGAUUCUGCUCCACAUUCCGAUUAUUGUUGGAGGUGGAAUACUUGCCAAUGUUGCCUUUAAGUGGGGCUUAUGGAAGCUGCAAAAUCCUGGGAAAUCAUAUGAAGACUAUCUGGAAUCCAAGGAA